rnacentral:rRNA from 1 species
GGGUUGUGAGGUUAAGCGACUAAGCGUACACGGUGGAUGCCCUGGCAGUCAGAGGCGAUGAAGGGCGUGCUAAUCUGCGAUAAGCGCCGGUAAGGUGAUAUGAACCGUUAUAACCGGCGAUACCCGAAUGGGGAAACCCAGUGUGAUUCGUCACACUAUCAUUAACUGAAUCCAUAGGUUAAUGAGGCGAACCGGGGGAACUGAAACAUCUAAGUACCCCGAGGAAAAGAAAUCAACCGAGAUUCCCCCAGUAGCGGCGAGCGAACGGGGAGGAGCCCAGAGCCUGAAUCAGCAUGUGUGUUAGUGGAAGCGUCUGGAAAGUCGCGCGAUACAGGGUGACAGCCCCGUACACAAAAGCGCAUGUGUUGUGAGCUCGAUGAGUAGGGCGGGACACGUGGUAUCCUGUCUGAAUAUGGGGGGACCAUCCUCCAAGGCUAAAUACUCCUGACUGACCGAUAGUGAACCAGUACCGUGAGGGAAAGGCGAAAAGAACCCCGGCGAGGGGAGUGAAAAAGAACCUGAAACCGUGUACGUACAAGCAGUGGGAGCCCCACCACCAAAGCAUUCUCUGGUGUUGAAGGCCCUGCAAAGCAGCAUCGCGGUGGCGGAGCGUCGUUUGCGACGCCCAACACACAAAACAAGCGGUGAGUGCUUUGGGGUGGGGUGACUGCGUACCUUUUGUAUAAUGGGUCAGCGACUUAUAUUCUGUAGCAAGGUUAACCGUAUAGGGGAGCCGGAGGGAAACCGAGUCUUAAUUGGGCGUUAAGUUGCAGGGUAUAGACCCGAAACCCGGUGAUCUAGCCAUGGGCAGGUUGAAGGUUGGGUAACACUAACUGGAGGACCGAACCGACUAAUGUUGAAAAAUUAGCGGAUGACCUGUGGCUGGGGGUGAAAGGCCAAUCAAACCGGGAGAUAGCUGGUUCUCCCCGAAAGCUAUUUAGGUAGCGCCUCGUGAAUUCAUCUCCGGGGGUAGAGCACUGUUUCGGCUAGGGGGCCAUCCCGGCUUACCAACCCGAUGCAAACUGCGAAUACCGGAGAAUGUUAUCACGGGAGACACACGGCGGGUGCUAACGUCCGUCGUGAAGAGGGAAACAACCCAGACCGCCAGCUAAGGUCCCAAAGUCAUGGUUAAGUGGGAAACGAUGUGGGAAGGC